UACAGAGGUCUCAAGCGUUGUUCGGAUUCAUUGGGCGUAAAGGGUGCGUAGGCGGCGCGGUAAGUCGGGUGUGAAAUCUCGGGGCUUAACUCCGAAACUGCAUUCGAUACUGCCGUGCUUGAGGACUGGAGAGGAGACUGGAAUUUACGGUGUAGCGGUGAAAUGCGUAGAUAUCGUAAGGAAGACCAGUGGCGAAGGCGGGUCUCUGGACAGUUCCUGACGCUGAGGCACGAAGGCCAGGGGAGCAAAACGGG
rnacentral:rRNA from 1 species